rnacentral:misc_RNA from 1 species
AGAUCUUGGGGCCUCUCUUAAUCUCUCUGAAAAAUUGAGGCUCCAAGGAUGACCCCCGAUUUUGGUUCAAAGAAGGCCAUUUUGGAUUUGCUUGUGGUGAUUCCCAUCAUGACAAAUGCUUAUGUUUGCCACUUUAACGUUCAGCCUAUAUAUAAUGAACUUGAAGGGCGGUCACCCCAGAAGAUGAACCGAGUGGGGAGAAUUACAACUAUUCUUUGCAUUACCGUUUAUGCUUCGACAUAUCAGGUUAUCUACUCUUUGGGAAGGAUACUGAAGCUGAUGUACUGACCAAUUUUGACUCAGAUCUUGGGAUUCCUUUUAGCGCCGCCUUGGAUUAUAUUGUCAGGGUUGGGUAUAUUCUUCAUUUGAUUCUUGUUUUUCCUGUUGUUCAUUUCUCUUUAAGGCAAACAGUGGAUGCCAUGGUGUUUGAGGGAUCUGCUCCACUUUCGGAGAGUAGGAAGAGAUCUUUAGCCUUAACAGCAGU